rnacentral:rRNA from 1 species
AUGCUGGGCGUCGCGCGGAUGUUGGCGUCGCGGCGUGGUGGAGCGCUGGGCGACUGGGCAGGCGACAGCGCGACUGCUGCGCUUCGGGCGGCGUGGAUGGUGGCGGGGCGCGUGGGGGCGGCUGUGGUGGCGGGGGAGGCCAGGCCAGAUCCGGCCAAUAGCUGCUGCUCGCGGCACGGGCCGUGUGGGGUGAUGCAGGUGGUGCGUGCCUGGUCGCGGCGGCCGGCUGGCUGGCAGGCGACGCGGGCCGAGGGGGCUUCGGCUGGUGGCUACGCCUCGCCUGCGGACUUAGUCCUAGAGUUUAUGGGCUCUGCUUUUUCUUGGCGUGGCUAUGUGUAG